GAUGAACGCUAGCGGCAGGCUUAACACAUGCAAGUCGAGGGGUAUAGUUCUUCGGAAUUAGAGACCGGCGCACGGGUGCGUAACGCGUAUGCAAUCUACCUUUCACAGAGGGAUAGCCCCAGAGAAAAUUUGGAUUAAUACCUCAUAGUAUAGCAGUUUCGCAUGAAACCACUAUUAAAGUCANAACGGUGAAAGAUGAGCAUGCGUCCCAUUAGCUAGUUGGUAAGGUAACGGCUUACCAAGGCUACGAUGGGUAGGGGUCCUGAGAGGGAGAUCCCCACACUGGUACUGAGACACGGACCAGACUCCUACGGGAGGCA
rnacentral:rRNA from 1 species